UUGGAGGGCAGUCUGGUGCCAGCAGCCGCGGUAAUUCCAGCUCCAAUAGCGUAUAUUAAAGUUGUUGCAGUUAAAAAGCUCGUAGUUGAAUUUCGGGAUCAAUUUAUUGGUCGUGCCAACGGUACGCACUGGUACAAUUGGUUUCUCCCUCUCUGACGAAGCAUGAUGUCAUUAAUUUGAUGUCGUGGGGAAUCAGGACUGUUACUUUGAAAAAAUUAGAGUGUUUAAAGCAGGCUUUGGCUUGAAUACAUUAGCAUGGAAUAAUGAAAUAGGACGUUUGAUCUUAUUUCGUUGGUUUCUAAGAUCGACGUAAUGAUUAAUAGGGAUAGUUGGGGGCAUUAGUAUUCAAUUGUCAGAGGUGAAAUUCUUGGAUUUAUUGAAGACUAACUACUGCGAAAGCAUUUGCCAAGGAUGUUUUCAUUAAUCAAGAACGAAAGUUAGGGGAUCGAAGACGAUCAGAUACCGUCGUAGUCUUAACCAUAAACUAUGCCGACUAGGGAUCGGAUGAUGUUAAUUUUUUAAUGACUCAUUCGGCGCCUUACGGGAAAC
rnacentral:rRNA from 1 species